rnacentral:lncRNA from 1 species
CUGCAGCACAGCUCAGCCUUCUCAGGCAAAGCCCCUCAUCUGCCAGCCUGCUUGUACCCACAAGGAUGGGCUCACUGCCUGCCUGCCCACCUGAAAUAAAGCUGCUCCCCAAAAAAAUAAAUAAAUUAAAAAGGAAGCUAUUUAGGGCAGCAUUCCCAUCAGGUUUCUCUGCAAAGCAGUUUAACUGUAGUUAGUAAGUGCUUAGUGUAAUCUAAUAAAAGCCAUUUUGCAAUAUUAAGCAAAAAACAUCUGGUACCCAGAAUUCCCUGAUCAUUUUUAACUAGAUGCAAUAUCUCUCUCUCUUUCUCCUUCUCUUCACAGACAUGUGAAAAAUAGCCUAAUAAGGAUCCUUGUGGUAAAAUCAGAUGGAAAACGGGGAGGAAGAGUUCCACAGUCUCCAGUAGCUCAUUUGAAGCUGCUCCUCCGAGUUUCACAAUAAUAAUCAGUGCUGGCCCAGUGCCGCCGGAUUAUUUUGUAUAUUCAUGAAGCUGCUCAUCAGCCGUCAGGAGAAUGUGCAGUAAUCCUUGGAUGAAAUAAGGCCAAUCAGUGGAAUAAUGAGGAAGAAGCAUUUGGGGCAUUUGUGCUGCUGGAACUAAGGAUGCUCAGCAUUUCUGACUCACCCACACGAUUCUUGAAGAACACAGGCAACAUCCACAGUCAACUGCUGCUGCUGAAAUCAUAGAUACUGCUGCAUGAUGUUGGCAUUCAAAAGUGCUGCAAAGCUGGCAUUUCUUGUGAUAUCAAGGCUGGGUGAAUUGGGCCUGGGAACCAGGGCCACAGGAAGAACACAGAGAAUCCACUCUCCCACUGAUGGCUUGAGGACUCGUCCUGGAUUUCACCAAACCUUCACUCCUAUACUUGUCCUCCAGCCCUUGCAUGGUUUGAGAAGAUUUAGCAGAAAAGCAAAAUGACUGAUUGCCAUCAAUCAGCCAUAUGAAGGCUAGUUUGGACAUUUCAUGAGGAAUCUAACUCUAUUUAGUGUGCUCCCAUUAAGAAAACUCUUUGUAUUUUGAGGGCCUAAAUCUAAAUAUAAUGGAUUUCCGUUGUCUUUGUGCCUUUGUAUUUUUCCACCUUUGACUGACCAACUUAUAAAUUUAGAUAGUGAAAGUCAAUGAAAUCAUAAGCAGCUUUAUCAACCUAAUUUUAAACCCAGAUGGAAAACAUACAAGAUGUUUAUAAUAUUGUGAUGCUCAAAAGACAAAGAUAAACCUCCUGUUAUCCUAGCUCUCCUGUUGCCAUAAGUGGGGGAGUCAUGUUUCAUUUUUUAUAUGAAAACUUUUUCAAUUUUAUAGUGACUAAUAGCACCAGAAGCAACAUUUUGUUCAUUAGACGUGCAUAAUUAAUAAUCAAUCCUUCCUUUACUAGACCUGGUUAUUGGAAGUAUUUGUAAGCAAAACCACAUAUUCUGUACUAGUUCCAAAUAAAUAAGAGGGACAUCCUCA